UACCUGCAGCUCUCUAUUUGAAAUCUAUAGAAGACGUGCUCACAAAGCAAUCAGACGUGCACACUACAGAGGGGAAGCAGAUUAGAACUACACACCUGCUCUUCCACAUUCCAUUAAGUUUCCACAUCUACAUUUCCCUUUGCAUCAACCAUCUCCUCCCCUGCCCGCUUCCCUCCUCCCCUCCACCGCAUGUUUCUCCUGUAUGAAGACCCCAGCGUAACCUCUUCUGGUCAAGGAGAAACCCAAAGUCAGAAAAAUUGGAGUUAUGUGAAAAGUGGGGUUCUGUGAGCUGGAUUUACAGGAGGAUUUCUAAAAUUUAUUUAAGGAACAGUUAGGAGCAGGUUUCUCAAACAUGUGCCCAUGCUCAAAUGCUGAAAAUGCAAACUGGAGAUCAGUAAGGCCCGUUAUGCACAUGUAUUCUUCAUCUCUGAAAAUGGAGAUUGUGGCAGUGUUGGAAACCGCAAAUCCUGAUCUAACUGAGCCCAUCACAGGCCUGCUCUUCUAUGAACAUUUCCCCCCUGCAUACCAGAUGGAGGAUGUGCAGGGGACCCCAGGUGACCGGAUGAGAGCUCUGCCUCUCCAGAGCCAUAGAGAUUUUCACCAGAGCCAUAGAGAGGCGUGCUCUCUCUGCUGGGAGAGCAAGGCUGGGAGAAUGUGUAAGCCUGGCGCUCUUCCAGGCCAUUUGACUCCCACCGGAAUGAACCCAGCUGCUUAAGAAUGAAGCCAGCUCAGAAGGAAAGAGAGCCUGAGAGGAAGCACUGCAGAUUCCUGACUUAGAUCCUUUGAGUAACUGGAUCCAGCCCAACCUGAAGCUAGACACCUCCCUGGACUUUCUAAGUGUGUAAGCCAAUAAACGUCUCCUCAUUAUAAGCCAGUCUGAGGCUGAUUUAUAGAAGUUAAGCAUUUUGGCCAAGAUCGCACAUCUAACAAGUGUGGAGUAAUAUUCAGAUCCAUACAACCCUAAUUCCAUAUGUGCUAGGGUUCUUAACCACCAUGCUGUACAGUGGCAAAUAGCAUCUAUGGCUGGACAGAGCUCAGAGCCACAUCCUUUCAUUGCCUGGCCCUCACUGGGAGUCUCUUCCCUUCCAGAAGCAGCUGCCAAUUUGUUUAACAGAGUAAUUGAUCAGGGUACAUCUUGAUUUUCUUUGUUUGUUUGUUUUUGACUCUCAUGGAGGCAAACAUCUCAGCUGUAUUUGAAUUGUUUGUUGCAUCAAAUCAUUAAAUGUCUGGACAUGUCUCGAUCACUUGGUGAAAGGCUGGAGUGGAGGUGAGAGAAAGUGUAAAAAGAAAAUAG
rnacentral:lncRNA from 10 species